GCCGGAAGUUGUUGCUGUCGGCUUCCGCUUCCUCCUGCCGCGAACCGCUCGGGUCGCAGCUGUUGUGGCAGUGAACGAGUCGGGGCGUCGUGGGCGGGGGGCGCAGCCAUGCCCCGGUAUUACGAGGAUAAGCCCGAGGGCGGCGCGUGCGCGGGCGUGAAGGAGGACCUGGGCGCCUGUCUGCUGCGGUCGGACUGUGUGCUCAAGGAAGGAAAGUCCCCUCGGCAGUGUCUGAAGGAGGGAAACUGCAAAGCUCUGAAAUACUCAUUUUUUGAAUGUAAAAGAUCAAUGGAGAAGCCAAGUGUACAGGACAUUCAUGACCCAGGAGGCCACACGAAGAACUUGAGCAUGUUUGCUGUCUCAUCAGAUCCAGGGAGUUGGAUGCCAGAUCAAGAUUCAGAGGAAGAAAAGGAUAUUGAUGCUAUUAUGUUCAAACCAAGAUGAAAUCAACAAAGGAUUUUCUCUUCAUUUAAACAGAGAAGCCAAAAUAGGAAACAUACUUUUUGCUACAUCUGUUGGGUUGGACCAGUUUUUCCCUCCCUGGAACACCGGAGAAAACGAUGGGUUCUGUUUUUGAAUAUGUAUAAACUCUUCCAAGGGGCUGGAGAGCGGACACUGGAUCACCAAGAGUGGGAAGGAGUGAGGAGCAUCCAUCUGGGCUUCAAAACCACCACCAGGGAUGGAGGAUGCUCAGGGCAGUGAGUCUUGACCAUGGAACGGGUGUGGCCAUCCCUGGGGGACGUGGGCAGUGCAGCCCCUCCAGGGGGACGUGGAGAACUUCCUCCUAUGCUCUGACAGCUUCCCUCCACCACUGGGACAGUCUCUGGACAGUCUCCAGGCCCUUCCAGGACCCUUCGCCGGAAGCUCAGUCAGAUCGCCUCACCUAAGAACCCCGGAGUUUUCAAACAUCAGGAUCAGCAGAGAAAAAGAGAAGAGCCUCAAGGUCAUGUCUAAGGAAAACAGCCGUGGCACCUGAGCCCCCAAAUCAAAACCAAAUAUAUGGAAUUCUGGGGUCUAGCUGCACACAGUUUCCACCAUACAACCUCACCCUGGUGUACACAGGAUCCUAUGCUAAUUAUUUCAUGCUCCUGAUACAUGCUCAGUGCCAGGCCAAAUGGAAAUGGAAAGAAGGCUCUUGCCUGUGAAGGGCUCAGUCUGUGAUGGAGGCUGUGGGAGCGCAGAGAAGGCGAAUUGAGCCAGGUCAGGAAAAUGCAGCCUCCUGGAAGGGAUGGCUUGAUCUACUUCCUAAGAUCAACCAGAGCUUCUUGGCCUCCCCGCCACCCUGUCUAGUGAUUACUGCCCACUGAGGAACCAAGCAGACUUAGGGGGUAUUCACCAGGUGGGCUCCAUCUUCUCAGCCUCAAAGAUCAGCAAGUCUCCUGGGGCUGAAGGCUAAAUGGCCCACUGCUCCCCCAGCUUCCUGGGUCGUGGUCCAGUGCUGUUGGCCCCACCCUGGAGAGGCCCACGCCUCGCUGUUUUCGCUGCUGUGGGCCACGCCCUUCCUUGGCCUUCCUCAGCAGGCUAGGUUCACAUCUCCUGGGGCUGGCCGCCUUCCAAAAUGCUGAGCACAGUACUCCCCCUUCCUGACAGAACGCUCACCACUCCCACUCAUCUGUCCUCUGUCCCUCUCCCCCCACUCACUUUCAUGGUGCCUGGGUGGGGACCGGCCCUCCAGUCCAAGCCUGGGUAGCCCGCACAGGCCCCGCCCCCUGCAGCACUGGAAGACAAGCGGUGGCAAGCUGCCUACAUCUGAUAUGGGCUCAUUGCGGGACUCGCCCUCCA